rnacentral:rRNA from 1 species
GAUGAACGCUGGCGGCGUGCCUAAUACAUGCAAGUCGAGCGAACAGAUGAGGAGCUUGCUCCUCUGACGUUAGCGGCGGACGGGUGAGUAACACGUGUAUAACCUACCUAUAAGACUGGUAUAACUUCGGGAAACCGGAGCUAAUACCGGAGAAUCUCUUGAACCGCAUGGUUCAAUAGUGAAAGACGGCUUUGCUGUAACGUAUAGAUGGAUCCGCGCCGCUUGGGCUAGUUGGUAAGGUAAAGGGUUACCAAGGCAACGAUGCGUAGCCGAACUGAGAGGGUGAUCGGCCACACGGGAACGGAGACGCGGUCCAGACUCCUACGGGAGGGAGCAGUAGGGUAUCUUCCGCAGUGGGCGAAAGCCUGACGGAGCAACGCCGCGUGAGUGAUGAAGGUCUUCGGAUCGUAAAACUCUGUUAUGAGUGAAGAACAGAUGUGUAAGUAACUAUGCACGUCUUGACGGUACCUAAUCAGAAAGCCACGGCUAACUACGUG